rnacentral:rRNA from 1 species
AUUGAGCGCUGGCGGCAGGCUUAACACAUGCAAGUCGAGCGGGGUGAUGGUGCUUGCACUAUCACUUAGCGGCGGACGGGUGAGUAAUGCUUAGGAAUCUGCCUAUUAGUGGCGGACAACAUCUCGAAAGGGAUGCUAAUACCGCAUACGUCCUACGGGAGAAAGCAGGGGAUCACUUGUGACCUUGCGCUAAUCGAUGAGCCUAAGUCGGAUUAGCUAGUUGGUGGGGGAAAGGCCUACCAAGGCGACGAUCUGUAGCGGGUCUGAGAGGAUGAGCCGCCACACUGGGACUGAGACACGGCCCAGACUCCUACGGGAGGCAGCAGUGGGGAAUAUUGGACAAUGGGGUGAACCCUGAUCCAGCCAUGCCGCGUGUGUGAAGAAGGCCUUAUGGUUGUAAAGCACUUUAAGCGAGGAGGAGGCUCUUUUGGUUAAUACCCAAGAUGAGUGGACGUUACUCGCAGAAUAAGCACCGGCUAACUCUGUGCCAGCCGCCGCGGUAA